AGAACGAACGCUGGCGGCAUGCCUAACACAUGCAAGUCGAACGAGACCUUCGGGUCUAGUGGCGCACGGGUGCGUAACGCGUGGGAAUCUGCCCUUGGGUUCGGGAUAACAGUUGGAAACGACUGCUAAUACCGGAUGAUGACUUCGGUCCAAAGAUUUAUCGCCCAGGGAUGAGCCCGCGUAGGAUUAGCUAGUUGGUGAGGUAAAAGCUCACCAAGGCGACGAUCCUUAGCUGGUCUGAGAGGAUGAUCAGCCACACUGGGACUGAGACACGGCCCAGACUCCUACGGGAGGCAGCAGUGGGGAAUAUGGACAAUGGGCGAAAGCCUGAUCCAGCAAUGCCGCGUGAGUGAUGAAGGCCUUAGGGUGUAAAGUCUCGUUUUACCGGGAUGAUAAUGACAGUACCGGAGAAGUAACGCCCGACUAACUCCGUGACCAGCAGCCGC
rnacentral:rRNA from 1 species